UACGGAGGGUGCAAGCGUUAUCCGGAUUUACUGGGCUUAAAGGGUGCGUAGGUGGCCCGGUAAGUCAGUGGUGAAAUCUUCGAGCUUAACUCGGAAACUGCCAUUGAUACUAUCUGUCUUGAAUACUUUGGAGGUAAGCGGAAUAUGUCAUGUAGCGGUGAAAUGCUUAGAUAUGACAUAGAACACCAAUUGCGAAGGCAGCUUACUACACAGUCAUUGACACGGAGGCACGAAAGCGUGGGGAUCAAACAGG
rnacentral:rRNA from 1 species